CAGUAGCCGCGGUAAUACGUAGGUGGCAAGCGUUGUCCGGAAUUAUUGGGCGUAAAGGGCUCGCAGGCGGUUUCUUAAGUCUGAUGUGAAAGCCCCCGGCCCAACCGGGGAUGGUCAUUGGAAACUGGGAAACUUGAGUGCAGAAGAGGAGAGUGGAAUUCCACGUGUAGCGGUGAAAUGCGUAGAGAUGUGGAGGAACACCAGUGGCGAAGGCGACUCUCUGGUCUGUGACUGACGCUGAGGAGCGAAAGCGUGGGGAGCGAACGGGAUUAGAUACCCCUGUAGUCCCUGUCUCUUAUAU
rnacentral:rRNA from 1 species